UAGGGAAUCUUCCACAAUGGGCGAAAGCCUGAUGGAGCAACGCCGCGUGUGUGAUGAAGGCUUUCGGGUCGUAAAGCACCGUUGUAUGGGAAGAACAGCUAGAAUAGGAAAUGAUUUUAGUUUGACGGUACCAUACCAGAAAGGGACGGCUAAAUACGUGCCAA
rnacentral:rRNA from 1 species